rnacentral:lncRNA from 10 species
CUGAUGGAUGUGCUGACUAGUGAGAGUGCUUGGGCCCUCCCCCAGCACCUAGGGAAAGGCUUCCCCUCCCCCUCCGGCCACAAGGUACACAACUUUUAACUUAGCUCUUCCCGAUGUUUGUUUGUUAGUGGGAGGAGUGGGGAGGGCUGGCUGUAUGGCCUCCAGCCUACCUGUUCCCCCUGCUCCCAGGGCACAUGGUUGGGCUGUGUCAACCCUUAGGGCCUCCAUGGGGUCAGUUGUCCCUUCUCACCUCCCAGCUCUGUCCCCAUCAGGUCCCUGGGUGGCACGGGAGGAUGGACUGACUUCCAGGACCUGUUGUGUGACAGGAGCUACAGCUUGGGUCUCCCUGCAAGAAGUCUGGCACGUCUCACCUCCCCCAUCCCGGCCCCUGGUCAUCUCACAGCAAAGAAGCCUCCUCCCUCCCGACCUGCCGCCACACUGGAGAGGGGGCACAGGGGCGGGGGAGGUUUCCUGUUCUGUGAAAGGCCGACUCCCUGACUCCAUUCAUGCCCCCCCCCCCAGCCCCUCCCUUCAUUCCCAUUCCCCAACCUAAAGCCUGGCCCGGCUCCCAGCUGAAUCUGGUCGGAAUCCACGGGCUGCAGAUUUUCCAAAACAAUCGUUGUAUCUUUAUUGACUUUUUUUUUUUUUUUUUUCUGAAUGCAAUGACUGUUUUUUACUCUUAAGGAAAAUAAACAUCUUUUAGAAA